rnacentral:hammerhead_ribozyme from 1 species
AUUUAGUUGACGAGUCUCAAAUAGGACGAAACGUACGUCCUGAAU